GGAGAGGUGUCUGAGUGGCCGAAAGAGCACGCCUGGAAAGUGUGUGUACCUCACGGUACCGAGGGUUCGAAUCCCUCCCUCUCCGCCA
rnacentral:tRNA from 1 species